GGGGUUGACCGGAUUUGACAGGAUGAUUGAAUACGGUGUAAGCAUGUAGAGCUUUGGAUGUUGGCUCUUUAAUCUCAAUGUUCAAACUUUUAAGAGGCGAAUCUAACUACGCCCUGGCUGCUUAAUUCGAGUAAUUAACAGAUCCAGUUGUUCCCACCCCUCCUGCCUGUGUCAGGGGUGAUCAGGAGCAAUCGACCGACACGGGUAUGGCCACUCACACCGGCCAGGUGAGCCAUUAACACGCCGGAUAAGGUGACAUAAGGUUUUUCCUGUACCUGCCGCCACCCGACAACAAACAGGUAUAAACAUGUAGAAAGCGCCAGUACUCGCAUCUCUGGACGGGGGUUCGAUUCCCCCCAGCUCCACCA
rnacentral:tmRNA from 1 species